rnacentral:lncRNA from 10 species
ACUGGAGCAGGAAGUCGGCCUGUGGCCGGCCAUGUUCAUGAGGGCGCGUCCCUUGGCACCCCUGUAGCCGCUAUGUUUCCCACGCCCGUGGCAGGCCUGAGAGAUUAUGUUUGCGGGGGGUGCUUUUUUUGUAGCUUCUGUGUUCGCCAUAUUUGAAAGGGGCAGACGGCCAUGUUCGUGAACGGCGCUUCCCUUGGUGCACCUGUGGCCGCCAUGUUUGAGCGAGGACCCCGUGGCAGGCCAGGACCGUUUCUCCGGUGCUAUCCCAGAGCAUGGCGCAUCCACUCAUUCACUCAAGGGAAAGGCCUGAAAGUAAAAUUGUAUCAACAUUAGGUUUGGCUAAUGUUGCCAUUAGGCAAACCUAAUUUUAAUGAAGCCAGGAGGUUCUCGUUUUGGGCCUUGACUGGACAGGUUUGAGCUAGAAACCACUUGAAGUAUUGAUCAUCCAUCUGAUCAUCAAGUUUUUUUUUUUUUUUGAGUUGGAGUCUCACUCUGUUGCUCACGCUGGAGUGCAGUGGCACGAUCUCAGCUCCCUGCAACCUCCACCUCCCGGGUUCUCCUGCCUCAGCCUUCCAAGUAGCUGGGAUUAUAAGCGUGUGCCACCAUGCCUGGCUACUUUUUUAUAUUUUCGGUUGAGAUGGGGUUUCACCGCGUGGCCAGGCUGGUCUCAAACUCCUGACCUCAAGUGAUCCGCCUGCCUCGGCCUCCCAAAGUGCUGGGAUUACAGGCGUGAGCCGCCACUCCCAGCUUGUUCAUCCAGUUUUUAUUGAGCAUCUAUUAUGUGCCGAUAUUGAGGUAGACUCUGGGAGUCACAGCAGUGAAUGCAGCUGCCUGGAUGCCUCGUGAGGGCCGGAGCCUCACUGGGGAGAUGGACAUGAACAGCAAAUGCACAGCGAGGAAAGCCAGGGGUCUGUGCGGGGAUGCUGCAGGACACGAGAACCAGCCAAGACCUAUGGCCCCUGCAGCCACCGAGGGCUCGAGAGCGCCCCUGUGGACUUGGCUGGGCCCUUCAUGGUGACAUCCAGGAAUGCGGCUGAGCGCGGGUGUUGACCUCGCUGUUUGCUGGAAUGUUUGGGUUCUUGGACCAUGUCAGUGACGGCUGUGUCACCAUGGCCUUGCUAUCCCCAGGAAAACCUAACAUGCACCCCGCGCCUGUCCUCUGGGACUCCCAUCCUCCUCCUUUGUCUGACCCCUGAGAGGCUUACCGUUUCCCCAGGGCAGCCCCGGCUGUGGCCCUCGGCCCUGCUCCAGGCGGCCAUGUCAGUGUCCUCCCUCGGCGCUCCCAACACCCUACCUGGCUCUGCGAUGGCCACCCUGGACUCCUAAACACCCCAGAAAGGGAAGAGAUUUAAGAGGAACCUUGAUUCCUGCCAUUCUGCGCAGUCGUGGGUCCCUCCUCCACCUGGGGCCCUCAAGGGGAUUUCUGUCCGCACUCCCAGCCAGCGACCCCUCCCAGUUCCUGCAGCUGGAGCGGCCCUCUCUCCUGAACAUUCGGGCACCUGCGUCUGUCACUGCAGCCAGAGGGCUGGAGUGUCUUCGGUCAACUCGCCAUCCCUGCCACGGCUGGAGGCCACAUGUCCCAGAACCUACCUUGCUGGGAUGGGGGUUGGGGUGGCAGAGGCUGAACGCGUGUGAGGUUUGGGGGAGGACAAGCGGAGCGGGGAUGUGUGGGAGGUCCUGGUGUCCACCGUGAGGAUGGUCACACCCCAUAGCUUUGUUGAUGCUGUGGCUGUAGCAGGCCCAGUGGCUCCGCUGAGCCUCCCUAGCACCAGUGCCCAGUGAAGUGUGGGGGGCUGGACAUAGGUGGCCUCAGUUCCUGGGACUCCCCCAAAGCUCUGGUUUCCCCCCUGCUCCCAGGCUUCAGGUGGACGAGUUAGUGACCACCCCCACUCCAGACCUCCCUCCCCUAGCCACCCCCACAGUUAUAAAAACCUUCAUUCUCAUAUGGAA